rnacentral:rRNA from 1 species
AGUGAACGCUGGCGGUAGGCCUAACACAUGCAAGUCGAACGGCAGCACAGUAAGAGCUUGCUCUUACGGGUGGCGAGUGGCGGACGGGUGAGGAAUACAUCGGAAUCUACUUUUUCGUGGGGGAUAACGUAGGGAAACUUACGCUAAUACCGCAUACGACCUACGGGUGAAAGCAGGGGAUCUUCGGACCUUGCGCGAUUGAAUGAGCCGAUGUCGGAUUAGCUAGUUGGCGGGGUAAAGGCCCACCAAGGCGACGAUCCGUAGCUGGUCUGAGAGGAUGAUCAGCCACACUGGAAGUGAGACACGGUCCAGACUACUACGGGAGGCAGCAGUGGGGAAUAUUGGACAAUGGGCGCAAGCCUGAUCCAGCCAUACCGCGUGGGUGAAGAAGGCCUUCGGGUUGUAAAGCCCUUUUGUUGGGAAAGAAAAGCAGCAGGUUAAUACCCCGCUGUUCUGACGGUACCCAAAGAAUAAGCACCGGCUAACUUCGUG